rnacentral:rRNA from 1 species
CAGUAGCCGCGGGAAUACGAAGGGGGCUAGCGUUGCUCGGAAUGACUGGGCGUAAAGGGAGCGUAGGCGGAUCGUUAAGUUGGGGGUGAAAGCCCGGGGCUCAACCUCGGAAUUGCCUUCAAUACUGGCGAUCCUGAGUAUGGAAGAGGUAUGUGGAACUCCGAGUGUAGAGGUGAAAUUCGUAGAUAUUCGGAAGAACACCAGUGGCGAAGGCGACAUACUGGUCCAUUACUGACGCUGAGGCUCGAAAGCGCGGGGAGCAAACAGGAUUAGAGACCCCCGUAGUCCCUGUCUCUUAUAC